AGAGUUUGAUCAUGGCUCAGGAUGAACGCUAGCUACAGGCUUAACGCAUGCAAGUCGAGGGGCAGCAUUGGAGUAGCAAUACUCAGAUGGCGACCGGCGCACGGGUGAGUAACACGUAUCCAACCUGCCGCUUACUCGGGGAUAGCCUUUCGAAAGAAAGAUUAAUACCCGAUGGUAUAAAGAGUUCGCAUGUUCUCUUUAUUAAAGAAUUUCGGUAAGCGAUGGGGAUGCGUUCCAUUAGAUAGUUGGCGGGGUAACGGCCCACCAAGUCUACGAUGGAUAGGGGUUCUGAGAGGAAGGUCCCCCACAUUGGAACUGAGACACGGUCCAAACUCCUACGGGAGGCAGCAGUGAGGAAUAUUGGUCAAUGGACGAGAGUCUGAACCAGCCAAAGUAGCGUGAAGGAUGACUGCCCUAUGGGUUGUAAACUUCUUUUAUAAGGGAAUAAAGUGAGGGACGUGUCCCUUUUUGUAUGUACCUUAUGAAUAAGGAUCGGCUAACUCCGUGCCAGCCGCCGC
rnacentral:rRNA from 1 species